GUAGGGAGCAAGCGUUGUUCGGAAUUACUGGGGCGUAAAGGGGUGUGUAGGUGGAUAUGCAAGCCCUGAGUGAAAUCCUCCGGCUCAACCGGGAGAACUGCUUGGGGAACUACAUGUCUUGAGUACAGGGGAAGAGAGCGGAAUUCUCGGUGUAGCGGUGAAAUGCGUAGAUAUCGAGAAGAACACCAGCGGCGAAAGCGGCUCUCUAUCCUGAUACUGACACUGAGACACGAAAGCUAAGGUAGCGAAUGGGAUUAGAUACCCCAGUAGUCUUAGCUGUAAACGAUGGGCACUUGGUGUGGGUCUCUCAGAGAUCUGUGCCGAAGCUAACGCGAUAAGUGCCCCGCCUGGGGACUACGGCCGCAAGGCUA
rnacentral:rRNA from 1 species